rnacentral:misc_RNA from 1 species
UCUCCGUUGGUGAACCAGCGGAGGGAUCAUUACAGAGUUCCACAACUCCCAACCCCUGCGAACCGUACCCCAGUUUGUUCUCGUUACCCCCUUGCGGCGGGCCCCCGGCGCCACCGCCGGGGCCCCCGCCAGCGUCGGCGAGCCCCCUAUACCUUUUUUUCUCAACCAUACCGUCUGAGCAAACAAACAAAUGAAUCAAAACUUUCAACAACGGAUCUCUUGGUUCUG